rnacentral:rRNA from 1 species
GACGAACGCUGGCGGCGUGCUUAACACAUGCAAGUCGAACGAUGAUGCCGGAGCUUGCUCCAGUUGAUUAGUGGCGAACGGGUGAGUAACACGUGAGCAACCUGCCCUUGACUCUGGGAUAACUGCGGGAAACUGUAGCUAAUACCGGAUACGACCCUCGGAGGCAUCUCCUGGGGGUGGAAAGAAUUUCGGUCAAGGAUGGACUCGCGGCCUAUCAGCUAGUUGGUGAGGUAAAGGCUCACCAAGGCGACGACGGGUAGCCGGCCUGAGAGGGUGACCGGCCACACUGGGACUGAGACACGGCCCAGACUCCUACGGGAGGCAGCAGUGGGGAAUAUUGCACAAUGGGCGCAAGCCUGAUGCAGCAACGCCGCGUGAGGGAUGACGGCCUUCGGGUUGUACACCUCUUUUAGCAGGGAAGAAGCGAAAGUGACGGUACCUGCAGAAAAAGCACCGGCUAACUACGUGCCAGCCGCCGCAGUAA